CAGGGAACACAAUCGAUGCCGAUGUGGGCUCGCUAGAUCACUGUGUGUUGGAAGGCCGUGUAUUAUUGUGAGCAUUUUGUUUUCAGCGCCAGUUGCAUUUAGCUAGUAGUUUAAUUGUUUUGCUGAGCAUUCUCCUUCAAUUUGUUCUUAACCGUAUUGUGUCUGUUUUAAGUGGGUUAGAUUCACAAUUUCUGCAUGCUAUAGUGGUAUAGUAAUAUUUUAUAGUUUAUAUUUUUGUCCCUUUUUGUUUUCAAGGAUUUUUCGCCCCAUACAGAGGAUCGUCUUCAAAAAGACGAACGUUCCCACUCCAGCGCCGUGUUGGUGUUAUUACACUCACAACUUCUGCUGUCUAAAACGGAAAACCAUUUCCACGGUGCCGACUAGACAGCAGAAAAAGACGAAUUGAAUGUAGCAGGACUGGGGGAGAAAAGAAUCUCCUUUCAAGGUUGUGACAGCAGCUGUGAAGGAUUCAGAAGCCAGUUAUUCAAAUCUUAUCCCAAACUGAGUGAAGGUGGUGGAUUUGAACAAAUGAAGAUUUCAGGAUCUACGAGAAGCCGGAUCUAGGCUGUUAUUCCUUGCCCUAAUGAGGGGUACUCAGCAAAAUAUUUAAGGGACCCAGAAACCCAAAUUGUCUGCUGCAAUUCAUUUUGUAGGUUCCUGGACUGUCCUUAUCCACUGGGCCCCUGAUGAAGUGCCUCUUUUGUGAGAGACUUUUCUUUCUCAGAAAUAGUCACAGUGACAGCUGUAGCAGCAGUGAAGAAGACAAAAGCAUUAUACUGCAAUUGGCAUUAAGCUGGGAUCUUCCAGGGGUGACAGAAGAAAAUCGGCAUUGGCUAAUGGACAAACUCCUCCUUCACGCUAUGAUCCUUGAAAGAAUCACCUGGCCCACACUGAAUGUGGAGGAAGAUGAUGAUGAGGAUGACUGUUCUCUUGAGACUAAAUGCCGUAUCACAGGUGUAAGAAAGAGCGGUGUCGCCUUUAAGAAAUGGCGACGCCAUUUGAAAGACUACGCAACCCAGGAACCUUAGCACUAAUGGGCAAGGCGGGGUUUCUGGGUAUAAAGGGAAGUGGAGCAGGACAGCAGGGGGUGAUUUUGGGGAGCACCGCCAGUUUGUCCUGCUGAAUAGUUCCCAGAAGGUUGAGAGUGCAUUACGUAGUAUUGUAAGGUAAAGUGAACGUUUGGUUUCUUUUUUGAACAAGAGUUGUGUUUUGUUUAUACCGUGAGCGUUUUCCUCUUGGUGAGGUAGUCUUUUGUUUUGACAAAGUUUAAUUUAUUUUAUGAAACGUUGGUAGAUAAACGCUGCCUCUCGGUAGUUAAUUUAAAACAGUUCCGCAGUUUUCGUGACGAUUGGGAACCGUCACAACUGCCGUCUAUUUGUGUAUGUGUGUUUGACUCGGGACUCGGAGGGAAAGCGCGUAUUCAUGCGCUGCAGGAACAGCGGGCUGUAACAGAGAGAACUGAGGCAGCAGUCUGGUUUUCUGGACGUGCUUUAUUGUGACACACAUGAACAACAGUACCCACAGGUGGUGUGGACAGUAUGGAUAUUGUGCUUGAACUCGGAGACACUCCCGUGUUUCCGUGAACGACUGGGACGUCAGCUGCAGGGGUCCUUCCCCACAGCCUGGAUACAAUUCUUUAUCAACAGAGCCCUUCUUCUGGGAGGGCCCAUUCCAUACUUGCUUACGCUUACCUGUGUUACAGCAAGACUCCAGCAGAGGGAGUCUGCGCUAUCCUUGCCUGUGUUGCAGAGAUACUCCAGCAGAGGGUAUCUUCUUUGUUCUUACCUGUGUUGCAGAGAUACUCCAGCAGAGGGUGUCUUCUUUGUCCUUACCUGUGUUGCAGAGAUACUCCAGCAGAGGGUGUCUUCUUUGUUCUUACCUGUGUUGCAGCAAGACUCCAGCAGAGGGAGUCUGCGCUAUCCUUACCUGUGUUGCAGAGACACUCCAGCAGAGGGUGUCUUCUUUGUUCUUACCUGUGUUGCAGCAAGAUUCCAGCAGAGGGAGUCUGCGCUAUCCUUACCUGUGUUGCAGAGAGACUCCAGCAGAGGGAGUCUGUUCCACCCUUACCAGUGUUGCAGAAAUACUCCAGCAGGGGGAAGCCACUUCUGACUUGGAAUACAAAGCUACCCCGGCAGGGAAAGCCUACAUUGAACUUACCAGCGUACAGGACUACUCCAGCGGAGGGAGGUGGCCUGUACGUAACUGUGGACUGACCCACCUGGGUCGAAGGAUCCUUCCUGACACUUACCAGGCUCCUCAGCUAGAGUUUCCUGCUAAGUUCAUCCCAGUGGACUCAAUUCCACGGGGAAAGGACUUGCACAGGCCUCGGCCUGUAGAACUCGGUAUUCUGAAAUAGUUAGAGAGGGGCAAAGAAGUGAGCCAGUUAGUGACCCGUACAGGGCAAUAAUCUAUACAAAGAAAGUGUUGACUUGUUUAAAUAUUGUAAAUAAAAGUUAGUUGCCUGAA